rnacentral:rRNA from 1 species
GCAAGCGUUGUUCGGAAUUACUGGGCGUAAAGGGCGCGUAGGCGGCCACUGCAAGUCAGUUGUGAAAUCUCCGGGCUUAACUCGGAAAGGUCAACUGAUACUGCAGGGCUAGAGUGCAGAAGGGGCAACUGGAAUUCUCGGUGUAGCGGUGAAAUGCGUAGAUAUCGAGAGGAACACCUGCGGCGAAGGCGGGUUGCUGGGCUGACACUGACGCUGAAGCGCGAAAGCCAGGGGAGCGAACGGG